rnacentral:rRNA from 1 species
GAUGAACGCUAGCGGCAGGCCUAAUACAUGCAAGUCGAACGGUGUCUUCGGACAUAGUGGCGCACGGGUGCGUAACACGUAUGCAACCUACCUUACAUUGGGGGAUAGCCUUUCGAAAGGGAGAUUAAUACCGCAUAAGACAGUAGCUGGGCAUCCAGCAGCUGUUAAAGAUUUAUCGAUGUAAGCUGGGCAUGCGUCCAAUUAGCUAGUUGGUGAGGUAACGGCUCACCAAGGCAAUGAUUGGUAGGGGAACUGAGAGGUCAAUCCCCCGCACUGGCACUGAGCUACGGGCCAGACUCCUACGGAAGGCAGCAGUAGGGAAUAUUGGACAAGUGGCGCAAGCCUGACCCAGCCAUGCCGCGUGCAGGAUGAAGGCGUUAUGCGUUGUAAACUGCUUUUAUACAGGAAGAAACGACUCUUGCGAGAGGCAUUGACGGUACUGUAUGAAUAAGCACCGGCUAACUCCGUGCCAGCCGCCGCGGUAAUAC